UAAUUUAGCCGUACAUUGUCAAAAGUUAAAAUUCUUUAUUCUUCUUAGGAUUUUAAGUCCCCUGAAGAGUUGUCUAAAUAUCUUCUAAAACUUGAAAAAAACCAGAAGGAAUAUAACAAAUAUCUAGAGUGGAAAGGGACAUACUCUAUCAAAUCUUUUUAUCAUUUAGUGAGCCAGAGAUUAUGUGAUUUAUGC